rnacentral:rRNA from 1 species
AUAAUGGGUCAGCGACUUAUAUUCUGUAGCAAGGUUAACCGAAUAGGGGAGCCGAAGGGAAACCGAGUCUUAACUGGGCGUUAAGUUGCAGGGUAUAGACCCGAAACCCGGUGAUCUAGCCAUGGGCAGGUUGAAGGUUGGGUAACACUAACUGGAGGACCGAACCGACUAAUGUUGAAAAAUUAGCGGAUGACUUGUGGCUGGGGGUGAAAGGCCAAUCAAACCGGGAGAUAGCUGGUUCUCCCCGAAAGCUAUUUAGGUAGCGCCUCGUGAAUUCAUCUCCGGGGGUAGAGCACUGUUUCGGCAAGGGGGUCAUCCCGACUUACCAACCCGAUGCAAACUGCGAAUACCGGAGAAUGUUAUCACGGGAGACACACGGCGGGUGCUAACGUCCGUCGUGAAGAGGGAAACAACCCAGACCGCCAGCUAAGGUCCCAAAGUCAUGGUUAAGUGGGAAACGAUGUGGGAAGGCCCAGACAGCCAGGAUGUUGGCUUAGAAGCAGCCAUCAUUUAAAGAAAGCGUAAUAGCUCACUGGUCGAGUCGGCCUGCGCGGAAGAUGUAACGGGGCUAAACCAUGCACCGAAGCUGCGGCAGCGACGCUGAUGCGUUGUUGGGUAGGGGAGCGUUCUGUAAGCCUGUGAAGGUGUGCUGUGAGGCAUGCUGGAGGUAUCAGAAGUGCGAAUGCUGACAUAAGUAACGAUAAAGCGGGUGAAAAGCCCGCUCGCCGGAAGACCAAGGGUUCCUGUCCAACGUUAAUCGGGGCAGGGUGAGUCGACCCCUAAGGCGAGGCCGAAAGGCGUAGUCGAUGGGAAACAGGUUAAUAUUCCUGUACUUGGUGUUACUGCGAAGGGGGGACGGAGAAGGCUAUGUUGGCCGGGCGACGGUUGUCCCGGUUUAAGCGUGUAGGCUGGUUUUCCAGGCAAAUCCGGAAAAUCAAGGCUGAGGCGUGAUGACGAGGCACUACGGUGCUGAAGCAACAAAUGCCCUGCUUCCAGGAAAAGCCUCUAAGCAUCAGGUAACAUCAAAUCGUACCCCAAACCGACACAGGUGGUCAGGUAGAGAAUACCAAGGCGCUUGAGAGAACUCGGGUGAAGGAACUAGGCAAAAUGGUGCCGUAACUUCGGGAGAAGGCACGCUGAUAUGUAGGUGAAGUCCCUCGCGGAUGGAGCUGAAAUCAGUCGAAGAUACCAGCUGGCUGCAACUGUUUAUUAAAAACACAGCACUGUGCAAACACGAAAGUGGACGUAUACGGUGUGACGCCUGCCCGGUGCCGGAAGGUUAAUUGAUGGGGUCAGCGCAAGCGAAGCUCUUGAUCGAAGCCCCGGUAAACGGCGGCCGUAACUAUAACGGUCCUAAGGUAGCGAAAUUCCUUGUCGGGUAAGUUCCGACCUGCACGAAUGGCGUAAUGAUGGCCAGGCUGUCUCCACCCGAGACUCAGUGAAAUUGAACUCGCUGUGAAGAUGCAGUGUACCCGCGGCAAGACGGAAAGACCCCGUGAACCUUUACUAUAGCUUGACACUGAACAUUGAGCCUUGAUGUGUAGGAUAGGUGGGAGGCUUUGAAGUGUGGACGCCAGUCUGCAUGGAGCCGGCCUUGAAAUACCACCCUUUAAUGUUUGAUGUUCUAACGUUGACCCGUGAUCCGGGUUGCGGACAGUGUCUGGUGGGUAGUUUGACUGGGGCGGUCUCCUCCUAAAGAGUAACGGAGGAGCACGAAGGUUGGCUAAUCCUGGUCGGACAUCAGGAGGUUAGUGCAAUGGCAUAAGCCAGCUUGACUGCGAGCGUGACGGCGCGAGCAGGUGCGAAAGCAGGUCAUAGUGAUCCGGUGGUUCUGAAUGGAAGGGCCAUCGCUCAACGGAUAAAAGGUACUCCGGGGAUAACAGGCUGAUACCGCCCAAGAGUUCAUAUCGACGGCGGUGUUUGGCACCUCGAUGUCGGCUCAUCACAUCCUGGGGCUGAAGUAGGUCCCAAGGGUAUGGCUGUUCGCCAUUUAAAGUGGUACGCGAGCUGGGUUUAGAACGUCGUGAGACAGUUCGGUCCCUAUCUGCCGUGGGCGCUGGAGAACUGAGGGGGGCUGCUCCUAGUACGAGAGGACCGGAGUGGACGCAUCACUGGUGUUCGGGUUGUCAUGCCAAUGGCACUGCCCGGUAGCUAAAUGCGGAAGAGAUAAGUGCUGAAAGCAUCUAAGCACGAAACUUGCCCCGAGAUGAGUUCUCCCUGACUCCUUG